ACAUAACUAAAUAAUAAUUGAGAUUUUUU
rnacentral:sRNA from 1 species